GUAAACUAGAGAAGAAAUCUACGCUAAUUAGAAUGACGGAGAUUAUCAAACGUUAAAUUGGACAAACGGAAGCAUUUCCUCCUUUUUUAUCGAUUCUUCGACAUUUUCUUCUUUUUCCAAACGACAAUAGAGAAGCGAGAUAAAUUUGGGUUCUAGCGGAUAAAGUAAUCCAACAAAUGACAAUUCAAAGCGAAGAUGGCGAAGAUUUGGAAGAAUUGCGACAUAGGCUUGCUAAGCUUGACAUAAUAAUUGACGAGACAACACAAGAAAAGACGACAAUAGAGAAGCGAGAUAAAUUUGGGUUCUAGCGGAUAAAGUAAUCCAACAAAUGACAAUUCAAAGCGAAGAUGGCGAAGAUUUGGAAGAAUUGCGACAUAGGCUUGCUAAGCUUGACAUAAUAAUUGACGAGACAACACAAGAAAAGGACGAAGUAAAUGAAGAGAUGGAAAAACAGAAAAAUUGAAUUAGAGCGUAAGACUGCAGAGAAGAAUGAGACGACAAUAGAGAAGCGAGAUAAAUUUGGGUUCUAGCGGAUAAAGUAAUCCAACAAAUGACAAUUCAAAGCGAAGAUGGCGAAGAUUUGGAAGAAUUGCGACAGAGGCUUGCUAAGCUUGACAUAAUUGACUAGACAAC